rnacentral:rRNA from 1 species
AACGAACGCUGGCGGCAUGCCUAACACAUGCAAGUCGAACGAGACCUCCGGGUCUAGUGGCGCACGGGUGCGUAACGCGUGGGAACCUGCCCUUAGGUUCGGAAUAACUCCCCGAAAGGGGUGCUAAUACCGGAUAAUGUCUUCGGACCAAAGAUUUAUCGCCUUUGGAUGGGCCCGCGUUGGAUUAGCUAGUUGGUAGGGUAAAAGCCUACCAAGGCGGAGAUCCUUAGCUGGUCUGAGAGGAUGAUCAGCGACACUGGGACUGAGACACGGCCCAGACUCCUACGGGGGGCAGCAGUAGGGAAUAUUGGACAAGGGACGAAAGCCUGAUCCAGCAAUGCCGCGUAAGUGAUGAAGGCCUUAGGGUUGUAAAGCUCUUUUACCCGGGAUGAUAAUGACAGUACCGGGAGAAUAAGCUCCGGCUAACUCCGUG